GCCCCCGCCCCGGCGGCUCCGGGCGCUGGUCUUCUAAACCGGACGCGAGGGUUCGACCCCCUCCGGGGGCU
rnacentral:tRNA from 1 species